UACGGGGGGGGCAAGCGUUGUUCGGAAUUACUGGGCGUAAAGGGCUCGUAGGUGGCCAACUAAGUCGGACGUGAAAUCCCUCAGCUUAACUGGGGAACUGCGUCCGAUACUGGAUGGCUUGAGUUUGGGAGAGGGAUGCGGAAUUCCAGGUGUAGCGGUGAAAUGCGUAGAUAUCUGGAGGAACACCGGUGGCGAAGGCGGCAUCCUGGACCAACACUGACGCUGAGUGAGCGAAAGCCAGGGGAGCAAACGGG
rnacentral:rRNA from 1 species